rnacentral:tRNA from 14 species
GUGGCGGAGUUGGUACUUACCCGAGAUUGCAAAUCCGUGGUCCCAGGUUCGAUUCCUGGCGUC